GUGAGCCGUGGGAUGGGAAACCUUCCCGCACGGUUCGGAGAGCACUGAAUUAGAAUGAGAGGUUCACCACCACAUCAUUGCAUGCAAGGGGAGCUCGCUCGAUUCCCAAAUUGGUCCGACUCGUAAUUCACUUCUGCUUUCUCU
rfam:Morus notabilis contig20559, whole genome shotgun sequence.